rnacentral:rRNA from 1 species
GACGAACGCUGGCGGCGUGCCUAAUACAUGCAAGUCGAACGCAGUUGCGAACGGGGGAGUACCGCGUAGGUAACUGCGUCAUAGCGGGGGGUAACUAUUGGAAACGAUAGCUAAUACCGCCUACUGUGAGCUGGGCCUGCGUGGGAUUAGCUAGUUGGUGAGGUAAAGGCUCACCAAGGCGACGAUACAUAGCUGACCUGAGAGGGUGACCGGCCAAACUGUGACUGAGACACGGCCCAGACUCCUACGGGAGGCAGCAGUAGGGAAUCUGCGGCAAUGGACGGAAGUCUGACCGAGCAACGCCGCGUGAGUGAUGACGGUUUUCGGAUCGUAAAGCUCUGUUUUUAGGGAAGCGGUACCUAACCAGAAAGCGACGGCUAACUACGUGCCAGCAGCCGCGGUAAUAC